rnacentral:rRNA from 1 species
UUCCGGUUGAUCCUGCCGGACCCUACUGCUAUCGGGGUGGGACUAAGACAUGCAAGUUGAGCGUCUCUAAGCUAUGGUAGAGACGCGGCAUACGGCUCAGUAACACGUGGCCAACCUACCCUUAGGACGGGGACAACCCCGGGAAACUGGGACUAAUAUCCGAUAGAUUAGGAGGCCUGGAAUGGUUCUUAGUCAAAAGGGCGUUGAAACCAUGCUUUUCAACGUCGCCUAAGGAUGGGGCCGCGCCCGAUCAGGCUGUUGGUGGGGUAAUGGCUCACCAAACCUAUAACCGGUGCGGGCCGUGAGAGCGGGAGCCCGGAGAUGGGCACUGAGACAAGGGCCCAGGCCCUACGGGGCGCAGCAGUCGCGAAAACUCCGCAAUGCGCGAAAGCGUGACGGGGCUACCCCGAGUGCCGUCCGCUGAGGAUGGCUUUUCCCCGGUGUAAUGAGCCGGGGGAAUAAGGAGAGGGCAAGUCUGGUGUCAGCCGCCGCGGUAAUACCAGCUCUCCGAGUGGUAGGGACGAUUAUUGGGCUUAAAGCGUCCGUAGCCGGCUUAGCAAGUCUCCUGUUAAAUUCAGCGACCUAAUCGUUGAGCCGCGGGAGAUACUACUAGGCUAGGAGGCGGGAGAGGCCGACGGUAUUCUCGGGGUAGGGGUGAAAUCCUAUAAUCCCGGGAGGACCACCAGUGGCGAAGGCUGUCGGCUAGAACGGGCUCGACGGUGAGGAACGAAAGCUGGGGGAGCGAACCGGAUUAGAUACCCGGGUAGUCCCAGCUGUAAACGAUGCGGGCUAGGUGUUGGGGUGGCUACGAGCCACUUCAGUGCCGCAGGGAAGCCAUUAAGCCCGCCGCCUGGGGAGUACGGCCGCAAGGCUGAAACUUAAAGGAAUUGGCGGGGGAGCACCACAAGGCGUGAAGCUUGCGGUUCAAUUGGAGUCAACGCC